rnacentral:rRNA from 1 species
GACGAACGCUGGCGGCGUGCCUAAUACAUGCAAGUCGAACGCAGUGGGGACGGGUGAGUAACACGUGGGUAACCUCCCAUCAGAGGGGAUAACACUUGGCAACAGGUGCUAAACCGAUACUGAUGGAUGGACCAGCGGUGCAUUAGCUAGUGGGUGGGGUAACGGCUCACCAAGGCCACGAUGCAUAGCCGACCUGAGAGGGUGAGCGGCCACACUGGGACUGAGACACGGCCCAGACUCCUACGGGAGGCAGCAGUGGGGAAUCUUCGGCAAUGGACGAAAGUCUGACAGAGUAACGCCGCGUGAGUGAAGAAGGUUUUCGGGUCGUAAAACACUGUUAUUCGGGAAGCGGUAUCGGACCAGAAAGCCACGGCUAACUACGUGCCAGCAGCCGCGGUAAUAC